AUGGUGCAGCGCACUUCCAACGCCGAGGUCAUGUCGAUGGACCUGUCGCCCAAGAAGCCCGCCAAGGCCUACGGCAGCGACGGCGGCGCCUACUACGACUGGUCGCCGGCCGACCUGCCCAUGCUCGGCGCGGCCUCCAUCGGCGCCGCCAAGCUGCAUCUCUUCGCCGGCGGGCUCGCGCUCCCCAGCUACUCCGACUCGGCCAAGAUCGCCUACGUGCUCCAGGGCGCCGGCGCCUGCGGCCUCGUCCUCCCCGAGGCGGCCAGCGAGAAGGUGAUCCCCGUCAAGGAGGGCGACACCCUGGCGCUCCCCUUCGGCGCCGUCACCUGGUGGCACAACGCCGAGGGCGCCUCCGCGGAGAUGGUCGUGCUCUUCCUCGGUGACACCUCCAAGGGCCACACUCCCGGCCGCUUCACCAACUUCCAGCUCACCGGCGCCGCCGGCAUUUUCACGGGCUUCUCCACCGAGUUCGUCGCGCGCGCCUGGGACCUCGACCAGGACGCCGCCGCCAAGAUCGUCUCCACCCAGCCUGGCUCCGGCGUCGUCAAGAUCGCCGCGGGGCACCGCAUGCCGGAGCCGCGCGUCGAGGACCGCCAGGGCGUCGUGCUCAACUGCCUCGAGGCGCCGCUGGACGUGGACAUCCCGGGCGGCGGCCGCGUGGUGGUGCUCAACACGGCCAACCUGCCGCCGGUGAAGGAUGUUGGGCUGGGCUCUGACCUGGUUAGGAUCGAUGGUAAGUCCAUGUGCUCGCCGGGAUUCUCCUGCGACUCGGCCUACCAGGUCACCUACAUAGUGCGCGGCGGCGGCCGCGUCCAGGUCGUCGGGAUCGAUGGCACCCGUGUGCUGGAGACCCGCGCCGAGGCGGGCUGCCUCUUCAUCGUGCCCAGGUUCUUCGUCGUCUCCAAGAUCGCCGACGACACCGGCAUGGAGUGGUUCUCCAUCAUCACCACGCCAAACCCGAUCUUUAGCCACUUGGCUGGUAGGACGUCGGUGUGGAAGGCGAUAUCGCCGGAUGUGCUAGAGACGGCCUUCAACACCACGCCAGAGAUGGAAAAGAUGUUCCGCUCCAAGAGGCUUGACUCCGAGAUCUUCUUUGCUCCCAACUAG
rnacentral:rRNA from 1 species